AUAUACCACAUUUUGUUUUUCCAUGUCACCAUCCAUUGAUGAACAUUUGAAUUUGUUUUGUUUUUGGCUAUUAAAAUGCUGCUAUAAACAACUGUAAAUAAGUCUUUGUGUGGGUUUUUUUUUUUUUUUUUUCAUUUUUCCUGGGUAGAAAUCUAGGAUCAAAUUUGUUAUCUUCUUUAAAGCAUAGGGUUUCUCUGUCCUUUUUGUCUGAAUGUCCUCUUUGAAAUAAGGCAUUGGAUUUUUUUCCUCAUUCUUCCCCCCCACUUUUUUUUUUUUAAUUUUCCCAUUUUUCUUACCCAGGGAGCACAAUACUUGGGAACCUGAGAAAAACUUGGAUUGCCCUGAGCUAAUUUCUGAAUUUAUGAAAAAGUAUAAGAAGAUGAAGGAGGGUGAAAAUAAUAAACCCAGAGAGAAGUCAGAAAGUAACAAGAGGAAAUCCAGUUUCUCAAACAGUGCCGAUGAUAUCAAAUCUAAAAAAAAGAGAGAGCAGAGCAAUGAUAUCGCUCGGGGCUUUGAGAGAGGACUGGAACCAGAAAAGAUCAUUGGGGCAACAGAUUCCUGUGGUGAUUUAAUGUUCCUAAUGAAAUGGAAAGACACAGAUGAAGCUGACCUGGUUCUUGCAAAAGAAGCUAAUGUGAAAUGUCCACAAAUUGUGAUAGCAUUUUAUGAAGAGAGACUGACAUGGCAUGCAUAUCCUGAGGAUGCGGAAAACAAAGAGAAAGAAACAGCAAAGAGCUAAAGGAGGGG
rnacentral:sRNA from 1 species